rnacentral:rRNA from 1 species
UACGAAGGGUGCAAGCGUUAAUCGGAAUUACUGGGCGUAAAGGGUGCGUAGGCGGUUCGUUAAGUCUGUUGUGAAAUCCCCGGGCUCAACCUGGGAAUGGCAAUGGAUACUGGCGAGCUAGAGUGUGAUAGAGGAUGGUGGAAUUCCCGGUGUAGCGGUGAAAUGCGUAGAGAUCGGGAGGAACAUCAGUGGCGAAGGCGGCCAUCUGGAUCAAAACUGACGCUCAUGCACGAAAGCGUGGGGAGCAAACAGG